UUCGUCAAAUAAUGAAUGGUGGGAAAUUUCCCUUUAAAAACCAAAAGGCAAAACAAAUUUUAGAUUUAGAAUUUAGAUAUUUUGAUUGUUAAAUAAUUAAAUACACAAGUGGUUCAUAUAUUAUGCAAAAGACAAAAAAAAAAAGAAAAAAAAAAAAAACGUGAAACGUGAAAUUGAAUUAGCCAAUACUGCCAAUUAGGUUAGGUCCUGUCAAUCUCUCAUCAUUCUCUCUCCUCUUCAUUCAGCCGUUUUCUACCACAGCCUUCACUCAUUCUUCGGAUUUUCUUCUUCAUCCUCAAAUCGAAGCACUGAAUUCUCCAUUCUCAUUUGAACUCUCAAGUUCUCAACUCUCAAGCUCAACGUCUCAGACUCUCAGCCUUCAAUAGCUCAAAGUUCUCCAUCUUCAAAUCUUCCUCUCCUUCAAGCCGUCAAAGCUCAAAGUAAUGGAGCAAGAGUUUGAUGGUUAUGAUGAGGACAGACAAGAAUAUUUUGAAAUUAUAGAUUCUCAAUACACUGUUUAGAAUCAAGAUUCUACUCAACUGCAAGUCACUACCACUAGUGGUAGUAAGCGUGGACGAACAUCAGAUGUUUGGAGGUAUUACACCUUUUUUGAUAAGAUGGUUGGUCUUGCUCCGAUAAAAUAUGCUCGAUGCAAUGUUUGCGGUAAUGAAUAUAAAACAUCGUUAAGGCAGGUGCUUCAACUUGUAAAGCUCAUACUAAGACAUGUAGGAGUAAAAAUCCACACUAUCUUGGAAAUCAUGAAAGUGGUGUUGAGCCCCCUAUUGAUCAAACUCGUCAUUUACAAUUGCUUGCUAGAGCUAUAAUUUUGCAUUCUUAUCCUUUAAGUAUUGUGGAGCAUUAUGGCCUUAGAGAAGUUUUUACGAAUUUGAAUCCCAACGUGAAGCAUGUGUGUAGAAACACUAUUUUGAAAUAUUGUAUUGCUGAGCAUGAUAAGUUUAAAUCCUUGUUGUUGCAAUCUUUUUCUGGAAUUGAAGGUAGAGUUUGCUUCACUUGUGACUUGUGGACAACAUGCACUAAUCGAGGUUAUCUCACUUUAACUGCACAUUAUGUUGAUAAAAAUUGGUGUCUUUGGUCUAAAAUUCUGAAUUUUAGAUAUUGUGGUCCUCCUCAUACUAGUGUUGAGAUAGAAAAAUUUGUGUUUAAACUUAUUGGAGAGUGGAACCUUCAGGGUAAAACUUUUGCAAUGACUGUUGAUAAUGCUAGAUCCAUGGAUGUUAUGGUUAACCUUUUGAAGAAUGAUUUAUGUUGACUUCUCCUCUUCCUUGUAAUGGUAAAUUUUUUCAUAUUCGAUGUUUAGCUCAUGUCUUGAACAUAUUGUUCAAAGAGGUUUAAAAGAAGUUGAUAGUAGUGUUCAAAAAUUGCGUGAGGUUUGUAAAUAUAUUGAUUCUUUAGACUCUAGACUUACUCAAUUUUAGUAUGCUCUUCAUGAGGUUAACUGUGUGUUUAAUGGAAAGUUACGUCUUGAUGUUGUGACUCGUUGGAAUGCCACCUAUACGAUGCUCAGAAAAGCUUUAGAAGCAAAGGAAGCCUUGAAAGUGGUUAUCGAUAGGUUUAUGGGUUAUGAUUCAAACUUUCGGAUGAUGAAUAGGAUACCCUUACUAAAAUAUGUAAUUUCCUAACGGCAUUUUAUGAAAUCACUGUGUUAUUUUCUGGUUCAGAAUAUCCCACUGCAUAAUUAUAUUUUGCUAGUGUUUUAAAAAUUGAGCACACAAUAAGUAAGGCCCAUAUAGACCUUAAACUUGCACCCGUGGCAAAAGUUAUGCUUGAAAAGUUUGAGGGCUAUUGGGAUGAAUAUAGUUUGAUCCUUUCAAUUGCUAUUGUUUUGAUCCUUGCUAUAAGCUUGUUUGAGUGACGAAGAUGUUAAAAGUGCUUUAUGUUGAUGAGUCAUGUGUUGAAAAGGCGAAGGUGAUUAAAAAUGCUCUUUUGGAGUUGUAUAACUUUUAUUCUUCUAUGACUUCCGAUUUUAAGUCAAGUACAAUUGUUCCACCCUCCAUCCCAACUGUUAUCGAUAAAUCAAAUAGUCACUUGGAUGAUGAUAUAUUCAAGGUAAUCAAUUUCUGUUUAUUGUGGUUUACAAAAUUAAUAAUUGUAUGUUUUAAUUUUUAUUAUUUAAUAAAAGCAUUUUGUUUGAACUUUUCUAGUAUGUUGAUGAUAAUGAGGAUGGCCCAUCAAGGGCCAUCGACGGAGAUUGAUUCUUAUUAGUGUACACCUCGCCAACCAAUUUAUAAAGGGCAGAAUUAUGAUGUUCUCAAGUAUUGGGAAUCUCAAAUUAGUGUGUACCCCAUAUUAGCUGUUAUGGCUAGGGAUGUUUUGGCCAUUCCUAUUACAUCGGUAGCCUCUAAGUCUUCUUGUAGCAUGGGUGGUCGUAUUUUAAACAAGUAUAGGAGUGCGCUAUUGCCUAAGAAUGUUGAGGCGUUGGUUACCACACAAAAUUGGUUACGUGGUUAUGAUUGUGAUAUUGAAGAAGACGUCUUUGAAAUUGGUAAAGAAGUGAUAGAUGAAAGUUUGGCAUCUAAUUAGGAAGGUAUGGAUGUUGUAUUGUAGUGAUGCUUAAUUUAUAUUAUGUUGCUUCAUUUUAUUUUUUUUUUGAGAAAAGUGUUGCUUCAUUUCUUACACGUAUGCUCUCCUUGCCUAGCUUGAUGCUCCUGCUGCUUGCCUUUGUUUCUUUGGCAGUGUUGCUAAAUUGGUGCUGCUGCCAGGGAUUUGUGCUUGUUGGUGGGUCUAUUUGGUUGGCUUGCUGGCCAGCUUGCAUUGCUGUUGAUAAUUCUGCUUUUGGGAUGCUGCUGGAUGCUUCUUGCUAGGCUACUGUCUCUAUUUUGCCAGGUUGCUGAAGUUGUUAAAGCUUUGUUGCUGGUCAUGGAACUUGGAGUAGUCACAUUAUAUUGCAAUAGUGCUUAAACAUUAUAUUUUAAUAGUGCUUAAGUAGUCACAUUAUAUUUCAAUAGCUUAAUUAGGAUAUGAAAUUGUGGUUCAGGCUUUUGCUAAAAUGUUUUAAUCUCAUAAAACCAUACUUAAAUGAACAAGUAUUAAUAGUUUUAGUCACAUUCCAUUAUUGAUAUGUUGUUCCUUAUU